CACGUAGUUAGCCGUGGCUUUCUAAUAAGGUACCGUCAAGGUACGUUCAUUUCCUAACGUACUUGUUCUUCCCUUACAACAGAGUUUUACGAUCCGAAAACCUUCAUCACUCACGCGGCGUUGCUCCAUCAGACUUUCGUCCAUUGUGGAAGAUUCCCUACUGCUGCCUCCCGUAGGAGUUUGGGCCGUGUCUCAGUCCCAAUGUGGCCGAUCACCCUCUCAGGUCGGCUAUGCAUCGUUGCCUUGGUAGGCCGUUACCCCACCAACUAGCUAAUGCACCGCGGGCCCAUCCUACAGUGACGCCGAAGCGCCUUUCAACUUCAAAACAUGUGAUUCGAAGGAUUAUUCGGUAUUAGCCCAGGUUUCCCUGAGUUAUCCCAAUCUGUAGGGCAGGUUGCCCAGUGUUACUCACCCGUCCGCCGCUAAAUCAGAGAAGCAAGCUUCUCGUCAUUCGCUCGACUUGCAUGUAUUAGGCACGCCGCCAGCGUCGUCCUGCGCCACGAUCAACUCU
rnacentral:rRNA from 1 species